GCUUGCUCUAAGUCUGGUUAGUUGUAGUGUUCCACAUUUCUUUUCUUAUCAUGCUGUGCCUUAGACUGAACAUGUCCAAAUGAAAGGCAUAAAACCCCGGAGAGGUGGAGAAGUAGUUGCAUGAGUGCUUCUCUAGAGCCAGAGUUGUUCCUGUUGGACCUCACGCAUUAAAAACCCCAUUCAUGUUUCUACCAUCACUAAUUGUCCACAAGUAAGGAUCCGUGAUUUUCAAAGGACUUCAAAAAAGAACUGUUGUCUUCAAACAUGCAAAUCCACCCUCCCUAAUUUUCUGUUUCUCUCUCCGUCUGUGGCCAGGGGCAAUGUCUUCUACCUCCUCUAUGUGGUGGGAGGACUCCUGCUGACAGUCACUGCUCUCAUAAAUAAUAUUCAUUUAUUUUGUUUGGCAAAUUCCAGCCCUGUCUUCAUCGAAUAUUAUUACCUGGCCUCUGUGUGUUCCAGUUUCAACAGCCUCCUUGUUAUGACAAGAACAACACUGCAAGGAACUCCUGAUUAUAAGGUUUUAUGCUGGUUUCCUGCGUCCCCUGAGAAGCCAACUAACCUGGAGUUGACCUCUGCUAACUGCAUCUCAGCGAAAAGGAAAUCUAUCUGACUUUCUGGAGAAACACAGUCCUCAUUACCACUCCCUUGACUUUUGACCACAAAUUCUUUCCCUGGCGGUUCCACAUCGCUGCAGUCAGAACUGCUGAAUCUGGAGUCUGAUGUUUGUUCAGUG